AUAAAGCCAAGUGUCAGUGAGUACGUCGCCAUUUGCCCUGGUGGCAUGCCAGUCAACGACCAGGCCGAGGCAGGACCACCAGACGACAUCCCCACCACUACCUCAGCCGUCGACCACUACCUACCAAAGUCCUCCACCACAAAUUCUCCUGGGUCAGAAUCACUUUUCAGUCCAUUUUCCACUGCAUCGGACAGUUGUUACAGAAAAGUGAACAAGUUGUUUGAGGAUGAAGUACAUGUUGACGCUGCUGGUGGUGACCGUCACUGUUAUGGGAGCAACAGACAACAAAACUCGGCGAUGUGGUCUUGGUGCAGUCACCAGACUACCCCGCCCGCCUGACCAACAAGCGCAGUUGUCAACAGAAUAUCGUCUGCCAGUCACCGAGUGCCAACCUUGGAGUCAACUGCGAAGUAUUUAAACUGGAAGACUGUGACAAUGAACGACUCAUCAUAUCCGACGGCACCACUUCCUCCACACUCUGCGGGAAUAUUACAUCUACCUGGGUCUUCCCCACCAACGAGAUGAAACUCGAAUUCAUAACCAAUGGCGACCAUAACUCCCCUGGGUACAAAUGUUCCAUCACGUGCCUAGGAGAACAAACCAAAGACCAACUACAACAAGUAAUGUGAGAAGCAGCUGCCUCUCUCUUACCUGCACCACGACUACCAGGACCACUAUGAGGAGUUCCUUGGGAUUUGUUCAUCUGAAGGAGUGACAUGCAAGUGUUCCAGGCUUCACUAACCCCCGGACCCGGAAACCUGACCAAACCUUCCUAUGUCAGCCUGGCCUAAUGUAACCUGUCCCUUAAUGACCUAACCCACCUAUCCCCAGCAAACCCUAAAUUUAUCACCUCGAACAUGACUCAAUGUAACCUAACCAAUACAGCACUUUAUAGAGACAUGUCAUCACUACUUGUGUAAGACUUUAUCAAGACAUUAUAUAUUAUCUAUUAAUCAUUUAGAGAAUAUUGGCAGAAUAUAAUAAAAUAUUGCACACCAAA
rnacentral:lncRNA from 1 species